UUUUUCUUUCUUUUUUUCCUUUUUAGAAAGCGCACCGGGGGACGCCCCAAUAGCGCAGGCUCUGGGACGCGUGAGAGACGUUCCGCGAGCCAGCCUUUGUCAGGUCCUGGCUCUGGGACGCGUGAGAGACGUUCCACGAGCCGAAUUUUGUCGGGAGGACCCGGCAACGGACAGUCAAAAAGAUCUGACUGUGACUUGACUUCGGAGGUUGCGUUCAGCUGCCUAUUUGAGUAUAGGCAUGGACAAGUGUGCUUAGAUGUGUUAGUGUCUGUUGUCUGUAUUCUAUUCCUGUGUUUGGUAUCCCAGAAGCAGCUAAGGUUAAGCUGCAGUUUGGGCCAGGUACUGAAGGUACCAGGCAUCUGUGGAAAUUGGUUAUAGGAUGCUUUGUCUUGGUCCUGUUUGUCUGGAUUGUUUUCUGUGGUAUUGUAAAAUAGUGUUUUAUCUGUGCUUGUGCUCGCAGCCAGCUGUGAUAAGCUGGGGAAGAGUUAAAUUUUGCCUGGGAGUAAGGAAUCUUAAAGGCGGAGUUUCAGCCGGUUUGACACUUAGUGCAUAGCUGCCUAAAAGAUCAGAAAUGCUGUCAACAGGCUAUUAAAAAAAAAAAA
rnacentral:lncRNA from 1 species